rnacentral:rRNA from 1 species
UACGAAGGGGGCUAGCGUUGCUCGGAAUCACUGGGCGUAAAGCGCACGUAGGCGGCUUGUUAAGUCAGGGGUGAAAUCCUGGAGCUCAACUCCAGAACUGCCUUUGAUACUGGCGAGCUUGAGUCCGGGAGAGGUGAGUGGAACUCCGAGUGUAGAGGUGAAAUUCGUAGAUAUUCGGAAGAACACCAGUGGCGAAGGCGGCUCACUGGCCCGGUACUGACGCUGAGGUGCGAAAGCGUGGGGAGCAAACAGGG